rnacentral:rRNA from 1 species
AGAGAGAGACAUGCGCGCAUAUCAAUAAGCGGAGGAAAAGAAACUAACAAGGAUUCCCUUAGUAACGGCGAGUGAAGCGGGAAGAGCUCAAAUUUGAAAUCUUCAAGGUUUUACCUUGACGAAUUGUAGUUUAAAGAAGUGUUUUCUGCUGAAGUUUUGGUAAAAGUUCCUUGGAAUAGGACAUCAUAGAGGGUGAGAAUCCCGUAUUUGACCAUUAUUUUCAGCUUUGUGAUACACUUUCAAAGAGUCGGAUUGUUUGGGAAUGCAGUCCAAAAUGGGUGGUAAAUUUCAUCUAAAGCUAAAUAUUGGCGAGAGACCGAUAGCGAACAAGUACCGUGAGGGAAAGAUGAAAAGAACUUUGAAAAGAGAGUUAAACAGUACGUGAAAUUGUCAAAAGGGAAGCGUUUGACACCAGUGUUGUUUUCUCGAAAAUCAAUUAAAAAUGGCUCGAUUUUGUAUUGUUGAGACCUUAAAAGCUCACUGUACAUUUUUCGUGUCUUUUUUUAAUGCACUUUUCGUUUAACAAGUCAACAUCAGUUUCUUUUGUUGUAAAAGGGUCAUUGGAAGGUGGCUUUCUUUUCGGAGAAAGUGUUUAUAGCCUUUGGCCUCUGCAAUCGGAGAGACUGAGGUCUGCAGCGUAGACUCUUCGGGGUUAGAUACAUUUGUGCUAAGUUAUAGCUUUUUAUAGACAACUUGUUGACUAUAAUUAGUCUUGUAGCUUACUCGCUUAUGCUAUUUUACCUACGCUUAGGAUGUUGAAGAUGUAGCACAUCAU